AGAGAAAAGCAUGGAUUUUCUCCUAAAAUGGGGAGAUUUGCCGAAAGAAAACGUGUGAUUUUUUGGGUUAAAUGGGGGAUUCUCAAAGAGAAAAACGCGUGAUUUCAGGUUAAAUGGGGAAUUGUCGAAGAGAAAACAUGCGAUUUUCCCUUAAAUGGUGGAUUUCCGAAGAGAAAACGCGUGAUUUUCGGGUUAAAUGGGGGAUUCUUGAAGAGAAAACGCGUGAUUUUCACUAAAAUGGGGGAUUUGUGAAGAGAAAACGCGUGAUUUUCGGGUUCAAAUGGGGGAUUUGUGAAGAGAAAAUGCGUGAUUUUUUGGUUAAAUGGGGGAUUGCGAAGAGAAAACGCGUGAUUUUUGGCUUAAAUGGGGAAUUUCGAAGAAAAAACGGUGAUUUUUCUUAAAUGGCGGAUUCCAGUAGAAAUCCGGUGAUUUUCCCUU
rnacentral:lncRNA from 7 species